UUCGCGGCUCUGCCGGUGACACCGGUGCGGACCAACAGCUCGCCAUCGGAUGCGUCCAGCGUCCAUGCGUCGGGCACGCACCGACUGUAUUCGGUGCUCACGUGAGCA
rfam:Mycobacterium xenopi RIVM700367 contig70, whole genome shotgun sequence.